rnacentral:rRNA from 1 species
AUUGAACGCUGGCGGCAGGCCUAACACAUGCAAGUCGAACGAGUGGCGGACGGGUGAGUAAUGUCUGGGAAACGGCCUGAUGGAGGGGGAUAACUACUGGAAACGGUAGAUACUACCGCAUAACAUCAGAUCAGCCCACAUGGGAUUAGCUAGUUGGGGGGGUAAAGGCUCACCAAGGCGACGAUACCUCGCUGGUCUGAGAGGAUGACGAGCCACACUGGAACUGGAACCCGGUCCAGACUCCUACGGGAGGCAGCAGUGGGGAAUAUUGAACAAUGGGCGCAAGCCUGAUGCAGCCAUGCCGCGUAUAUGAAGAAGGCCGUCGGGUUGUAAAGUACUUUCAGCGGGGAGGCGUUACCCGCAUAAGAAGCACCGGCUAACUCCGUGCCAGCAGCCGCGGUAAUAC